rnacentral:rRNA from 1 species
AACGAACGCUGGCGGCAGGCUUAACACAUGCAAGUCGAACGCACCUUUCGGGGUGAGUGGCAGACGGGUGAGUAACCCGUGGGAAUCUACCCUUCUCUACGGGAUAGCUCCGGGAAACUGGAAUUAAUACCGUAGACGUCCUGAGGGAGAAAGAGUGAUCGGGGAAGGAUGAGCCCGCGUUGGAUUAGCUAGUUGGUGGGGUAAAGGCCUACCAAGGCGACGAUCCAUAGCUGGUCUAUGAGGAGGAUCACCCACAUUGGGACUGAGACACGGCCCAAACUCUUACGCAAAGCAGCAGUGGGUAAUAUUGGCCAACGGGCUCAAGCCUGAACCAGCCAUGCCGGGUAAGUGAUGAAGGCCCGAGGGAUGUAAAGCUCUUUAAGUGGGGACGAUAAUGACGGUACCAACAGAAGAAGCCCCGGCUAACUUCGUG